GAAUCGGCAGGACCAGAGGCUCCCAGAGGGCUGGUUAACGCUCAGCUGCCACAUCCCACACCUGGAAUGUCUGAACCAGAGGUCCCGUGCGAGACCAGGUCCAUUCGACGGUCCAGCUUUUAGAGUAAUGCAGUCCACAGAGUCAGCAGCAUGAAGAUCCAUAAACCAUUUCGACAUCUAAUAGAGCUUUAAAAGGGGCCCUGAACACUGGAGGCUAUGAUGAUGGGGGUAAUUGUACAAUGAUUACACAAGAAAAGAGGAAAAGUGAGAGGAGAGCAGCAUGCCAAUCCAUAUUAAGAUAGCCUGGAGUCACACGCCCGGGAACCAGUCUAGCCGAGACCAGCACACAAUCUAAAUCAGGACCUGCUUUGGCCACUCACCAGCUCCAGCUUGAGAUCAGAGACACCUAUCCUUGGAAUCCAACUGUUAAAACUCGAGAAUACCCA